GACUUUAUUUAUUAUUUGUAAUGGUCUUUUCCAGUGUUCAAAGCACUUUAUAGUACAAGUUGCAUUCAGCCACUCCUAGGGAUCAUCUACUGAAGGACCUAGAAGGUUGAUGGUACGAUUCCCAUCCCACCCAGUCUGCACUGAGCCUUAAAGUUGCCCCUGACUUUCAACAGUGAAUAACUAGUUCGUUAUAGAAGAAUUUGUAUAGCUGCAUAAAUGAAGAUCAUGGAUUCAUUGAUGCUACAGAAGGAAAAAAAAAACUGAAGGGAAACAAAUCAGCAAACAGGACGAAACUCACCUGCAGGAGCUGAUGAGUCUGAUGAGGCGAAAUCAGCCAAUCAACAGUGAUUGCUGUGAUCAAUGUCAUCGAAGAGGCGUCCCGUCCCAUGAGACGAAGUGACGGUCUGGCAAAAAUCCUCACACACAUACUGACACACACAGAUGCACAAAUGAUGGUUGGAUGGAUGGUUGGAAAGAAGACAACUGAGAUGAGAAUGACAAAUGUGUGUGAACGUUGGUAUGUGACCAGUGUUUAAACUCAUCAGCAGCUGAUUGUGUGUUCGCAGGCUACCAUGGGUUGCCGAGGCUGCUGGUGGUGAUUCUCUGCUGGGCUGGGGCGUGAAGCUGAGGUGACAAAAGACAACAUUAUGAAAUAUUCUGCAUCGGACUGGUUACCAUGGUGACAGCUUGUGUGACCAGCAUCAUCCAGCUUUCAACAUGUGGGGGAGAACUUGUGGUAUAGCAAACGACUAAAUGCUAAGGUCUGCAGGUGAAUUGUACCUUGUUGUGAGAGCAGUGUGUGAUCUGUGGCUGGGAGUCCAGCAGAGCAGCUGUGGGGAUGGAGGCACGCUCUCGUUCAGUGUACUCCAGAAGCAGGUAGGAACACAGCUGCUGCCACCUCACCUGACCCGUACAGCUGAUAU